rnacentral:rRNA from 1 species
GACGAACGCUGGCGGCGUGCUUAACACAUGCAAGUCGAACGGGCCUUGUCCCCUUUUUUUUUGGGGGUGGGGUUAGUGGCGAACGGGUGAGUAACACGUGAGUAACCUGCCCCUCACUUCUGGAUAACCGCUUGAAAGGGUGGCUAAUACGAGGUGUUCUGGCCUGCUCGCAUGGGUGGGUUUGGAAAGAUUCGACCGGUUUUGGUUGUUUUGGUGGGGGAUGGGCUCGCGGCCUAUCAGCUUGUUGGUGGGGUGAUGGCCUGCCAAGGCUUUGACGGGUAGCCGGCCUGAGAGGGUGGGCGGUCACACUGGGACUGAGACACGGCCCAGACUCCUACGGGAGGCAGCAGUGGGGAAUAUUGCACAAUGGGCGCAAGCCUGAUGCAGCGACGCCGCGUGAGGGAUGGAGGCCUUCGGGUUGUGAACCUCUUUCGCCAGUGAAGAAGGUCCUGCUCUUUGUGGUGGGGUUGACGGUAGCUGGGUUAAUGAAGCGCCGGCUAACUACGUG